AAACCAUGAUUUGAAGACCGCUACAAAUACUCCUUAAACCUCUCCCAAGCCUCAUAUAAUUGCUCCCCCGAAAGCUGCUUGAACUCAAAGAUUUUAUAACGGAUUUC